AGAGUUUGAUCCUGGCUCAGGACGAACGCUGGCGGCGUGCUUAACACAUGCAAGUCGAACGGGGGCACCUCUUCGGGGGUGCUCGAGUGGCGAACGGGUGAGUAACACGUGAGGAACGUACCCUGGACUCUGGGAUAACUCUCCGAAAGGAGGGCUAAUACCGGAUAUCUCCGCACCUCGGCAUCGGGGAGCGAAGAAAGAAUUUCGGUCUGGGAGCGUCUCGCGGCCUAUCAGCUUGUUGGUGGGGUAAUGGCCUACCAAGGCAUCGACGGGUAGCUGGUCUGAGAGGAUGAUCAGCCACACUGGGACUGAGACACGGCCCAGACUCCUACGGGAGGCAGCAGUGGGGAAUCUUGCGCAAUGGGCGAAAGCCUGACGCAGCAACGCCGCGUGCGGGAUGAAGGCCUUCGGGUUGUAAACCGCUUUCGACCGGAACGAAUCUGACGGUACCGGUGGAAGAAGGUCCGGCCAACUACGUGCCAGCAGCCGCGGUAACACGUAGGGACCGAGCGUUGUCCGGAUUCAUUGGGCGUAAAGAGCUCGUAGGCGGUUGGGUAAGUCAGGUGUGAAAACUCCAGGCUCAACUUGGAGACGCCACCUGAUACUGCUCUGACUUGAGUCUGGUAGGGGAGUGGGGAAUUCCUGGUGUAGCGGUGAAAUGCGCAGAUAUCAGGAGGAACACCGGUGGCGAAGGCGCCACUCUGGGCCAGUACUGACGCUGAGGAGCGAAAGCGUGGGUAGCAAACAGGAUUAGAUACCCUAGUAGUCC
rnacentral:rRNA from 1 species